AAAAAAAGCUAUAACACCCUUACUUCAAACAUCUUCACAAAAAACCCUCAUCUCUCAUCUUCACAAAAAACCCUCCUCCCUCAAGAAAAAGCUAAGAUCACCGUCGCCGGCCGUCGCCUUAGUCGGCCACCACCACCGUCGCGGUUGCCAUCAACCUUCAACAUCAUCAUCGUCACUUUCUCUGCAGUGAAGAAUGGAAUAAGAAAAUGGUGAUUCAAAAACCCUAACUGAUGCUUCGUAUCGUCUUCUUCAAUCGUCAUUCUCUCUGCAACUUUUCAAGCUUGAAGAGGUUCAGACCACAUCUUCAGUUGCAGACAUGAAAACAGAUGAAAUCAACUUGCAGACAGUUUAUGUCUGCAAAAACAAACAGCACCUAAGCAUUAUCACAAGCUAAAUAAUAUGUGGAAGCAACCCCACUCAAUUGUUAGCUACAAUCUUGUACCUGUCAUGUCUCAAAAGAUUUUAGGGCAUGUUUGACUAAGCUUUUUGAAACAACUUAUUCACUUAUUGGCUUUUUGAAAAGUCAUAAGCUUCAAAAUGAUGUUUGACAAUGAGGAUGUAUGUGAGGGAGAAAAGUCAAUAAGUCACUCUAUACUAACUUUUCCAAAAAGCCAAUAAGUUAAUAAGUUAUUUAAAAAACUUCAAGAAACAUGCCCUUAAUACCCUUAAUGAUCUAAUAAAGCUUAUGUAAUUUUUCAUGGGUCUUGAUGAUAUUAGUUAACCGGUUAGAACCAUUUUGCCAA